UCAUUCGUUCGUACACUCAAGACUGGUUGCUUCUUUGUUUCUAAAACUAGUUUCUUGUGCUUCUAUGUAACUUGGGGUGAAGUUACGUGUUUGCAAGCGGACAUGCAAGCCCGGCAGUUGGGUUUCGGUCGUGAGCCAUUCGGGACAGGUCUGCAUCGAAACGGGAGCUGGAUUUUGCUGCGGCUGACAACGGCAAUAACGACAUGCAGUAAUGAGGACGGCACCAGUAUAAAGCAACACACUCCACGCACUAAACAGAAGCUGCUGCCUGCUACGACAAGGUCAUUGUGUGGACAUUGGCUACUACUACAAGAGUCUAUGCCAAGCACAUCUUGGUCAUCACAGGAGCUCCUAUCUGCACCAACAGGAAGGGGCUGGAGCCGAAUUUGCAAGGCUUUUACACCAAGAACAAAGAAGCACAUGCACAAGAAUAUGGAUGAGAUAUCAA